AGCGAACGCUGGCGGCAGGCCUAACACAUGCAAGUCGAACGAACCCUUCGGGGUUAGUGGCGGACGGGUGAGUAACACGUGGGAACGUGCCUUUAUGUUCGGAAUAACUCAGGGAAACUUGUGCUAAUACCGAAUGUGCCCUUCGGGGGAAAGAUUUAUCGCCUUUAGAGCGGCCCGCGUCUGAUUAGCUAGUUGGUGAGGUAAUGGCUCACCAAGGCUACGAUCAGUAGCUGGUCUGAGAGGAUGACCAGCCACAUUGGGACUGAGACACGGCCCAAACUCCUACGGGAGGCAGCAGUGGGGAAUCUUGCGCAAUGGGCGAAAGCCUGACGCAGCCAUGCCGCGUGGAUGAUGAAGGUCUUAGGAUUGUAAAAUCCUUUCACCGGUGAAGAUAAUGACUGUAGCCGGAAAAGAAGCCCCGGCUAACUUCGUGCCAGCCGCCGCGGUAAUAC
rnacentral:rRNA from 1 species